CUCCAAAACUUUUCACGCCCUAAGUUAAUAAAACUUCUCCACUGAAAGGGAUGGAUGUGACACUGUGCUGAGGAUUUCAUGGCCGAGCGCUGGAUUAUUGCUGUGGUGUAAAGGGCUCCCCAGCCUUGGGCUGUGCUGAGCAGACAAAGUAAGGCUGAAAGGACACAGCAGGGAUCCAGCAGUGGUGGCACUGGCUGCAGGAGUCAGCGCUUGAGGGUUCACCAACAACUCUCAUGGCCUGGUCCAUGGAAACAGGACAGGGAUAUAUGCCUGGAUACCAGCACCUGCACCCUGAGGGAAUUGUGAUCAGCAAACCAUCAGCAGAGGAGGAUGCAAUGAAUUGAAUGCACUGAUGACUUCCCCCUACCACCCCCCCACCCCCCGUUAAAGUUACAAUCAAACACAGUUUUCCGUAGAACAGUAAAGCACCCGGCAGAGGUAAGUGAGGUAUUGGCUGUGCAGCAUUUUCGGCCUUCUCCCACCUG